GUGGAUUAGAUACCCUGGUAGUCCACGCCGUAAACGAUGGGUACUAGGCGUCGGGGGGAGCGACCCUCCCGGUGCCGUCGCUAACGCAGUAAGUACCCCGCCUGGGGAGUACGGCCGCAAGGCUGAAACUCAAAGGAAUUGACGGGGGCCCGCACAAGCGGUGGAGCAUGUGGUUUAAUUCGAAGCAACGCGAAGAACCUUACCUGGGCUUGACAUGCACGGGAAAGCCGGUGGAAACAUCGGUCCCUCUUCGGAGUCCGUGCACAGGUGCUGCACGGCUGUCGCCAACU
rnacentral:rRNA from 1 species